GGAUAAAUGUCAGAGUGGUUUAUUGUAUUCACCUUGAAAGUGGAUGUACUUUCAGUACCAUAGGUUCGAAUCCUAUUUUAUCCG
rnacentral:tRNA from 4 species